UUUUACAUCAAUCGAUAGAUUAUAGGUUAAAGAUGACCAAUAUUCAUAAAAAUAGUCCAUUUUUUUCGAGGAACUACUGUAAAAAGGCACGGAUUUCUUGUAACUACGAUGGGAAAUUUCAAUCGUCGCCUUGAAAUCUGGGGAAAAUCUCSCGUAUCUUUCGCUGUUGCGUUACUUACUGAAGGAACACGUGAACGUUAAAAGCCAAUGGGAGAGAAGCAGUAUCUUGACAUUCCACGUGAAAUCUUCACACCUUUCUUGCACGUUGUGGUCGGUCAAAGAUGGCAGCCAAAAACAACACAGAAGCUGCUUUUGAAGCUUUUACUUCAKAAUUUACAAGAAAUGGGUAAAUUUAUUUGUCUUGUGAACUGUCUUUUAAGUGAUAAUGUUUUGUUWAUAUCACGUUUUACUGAAUUAGCUCUUUUGAUAUUUAGUUUUGUAGUCCCAAAUGGACUUGUGAAGUUAUUGCGGGAAUUUGCUACAAAACACGGAGAAACGCAAGAUGAAGGUCGUGCGCGACUUUAUAAACGACUUUGGUGUCUCUUAUGGUUUGGCAGCAAGAAAACGCUGGGAUUCAAUCCAAAUCGCUCAAAGCCGCCCACUUACGUGUACCCAGCUACUUUGAAGUAAUAAGAGAAAUACUACCUGGGGCAGUCCAUGACAAGGAGGACCCGAAACAUCCUGGUGUCUACAAAGUAAAUAUUGCUGACAAUGCAGCAAAGUGGCCAGCUAAAUAAUUCAAAAUAGCUGAGAAUGUCUCAUUCACUAGUAGAUUCUGUUUCAUGGGUUUGAUAGUCAUCGCAAUGAAUUUGUAAAAUGAAGUAGUUUCUCCUUUCUUCAGUCACACAAUACUCAAAACCCAUGAAAUAAUAUCUAAUAAUCAAUUCACAACAUCAAUCAAACACAACCAAGAGAAAGCAUUUGAAUUAAUUUCUGCUUCUUUUUAUUUUCUAGCUAAGAAUUACUCUAUAUGAUUGUAUACYAUAAACAUCCUUACAUUUUUCUACAGCAUGUACAAAACAAAAAAAAAAAACAUAUAUCAUUUCCCUACAUCCAUUGCACCUUUAUAUAAUUCAAUUUAGACCCUCAAAAUGUACUAUGGGGCAAUUCUGAUUAUGUGCAAAGUGAUAUAAUUUUACAUAAGUUUUUAUAAUAUUAUUCAGUAUAAAUGAGGAACAAAAACAAUUCUGAUAACAUUUUGUGAUUUAGAAAAGAAUUGUAAGCCAUAAUUUGUUGCUGUUGMCACAAUGCAUUUAUGUACAUUACCUAAAAAAUAAUUGCCUAUUUCAAUAUGAGUUCAUUAUUACUGAACACUGGAAAGCUGCGUUGAAUGCAGAAUAUGACAAUAAACUACAUUGUUAGUUAUU